GCUUUGGAGUACCAACGUCAAGAAGAGUUGAAACAGGACCACAAAAGCCUACAUACUACUCCUAAAUUGAUGACCCCAUGGGCCAUGGAGAAGCAGUGUAGUAUGAUAUAUACACAUGAAAUUUUUGAUAAAUUUCAGAAACAAAUAGUAGCCUCUAGAGACUAUUGUUUUAUCCAAGAAAUAAUAGAACGUGAUGAGAUAAAACUUGUGACCAUUGGAAGCACAUCUAAAAAGGAGCGAUUGGUUCAUUUCAACGAGUCAGAUCUGAAAAACUGAUCGAGUUACCAGAGUAUUAUAUCAUGAAAAGAUAGGAGAAAAGGUGUAAAAGGACUGUAAUAUUUGACGAUGAAGGUAACCUACUAGAAGAUGUCCCUGCUGAUCCUGUUGAGGUGG